rnacentral:rRNA from 1 species
AUUGAACGCUGGCGGCAGGCCUAACACAUGCAAGUCGAACGAGUGGCGGACGGGUGAGGAAUGUCUGGGCAACUGCCCGAUGGAGGGGGGUAACUACUGGAAACGGUAGCUAAUACCGAAUACCAUAGGAUGUGCCCAGAGGGGAGUAGCUAGUAGGUGGGGUAACGGCUCACAUAGGCGACGAGCCCUAGCUGGUCUGAGAGGAUGACCAGCCAACCGGGAACGGAGACACGGUCCAGACUCCUACGGGAGGCAGCGUUGGGGAAUAUUGCACAAUGGGCGCAAGCCUGAUGCAGCCAUGCCGCGUGUAUGAAGAAGGCCUUCGGUUUGUAAAGUACUUUCAGCGAGGAGGCGUUACUCGCAGAAGAAGCACCGGCUAACUCCGUGCCAGCCGCCGCGGUAAUUC